rnacentral:rRNA from 1 species
UACGUAGGGUGCAAGCGUUGUCCGGAAUUAUUGGGCGUAAAGAGCUCGUAGGCGGUUUGUCGCGUCUGCUGUGAAAAUCCAGGGCUUAACCCUGGACCUGCAGUGGGUACGGGCAGACUAGAGUGCGGUAGGGGAGAUCGGAAUUCCUGGUGUAGCGGUGAAAUGCGCAGAUAUCAGGAGGAACACCGGUGGCGAAGGCGGAUCUCUGGGCCGUAACUGACGCUGAGGCGCGAAAGCUGGGGGAGCAAACGGG